rnacentral:rRNA from 1 species
CCUACGGGGGGCAGCAGUGAGGAAUAUUGGUCAAUGGACGAGAGUCUGAACCAGCCAAGUAGCGUGAAGGAUGACUGCCCUAUGGGUUGUAAACUUCUUUUAUAUGGGAAUAAAAUGUUCCACGUGUGGGAUUUUGUAUGUACCAUAUGAAUAAGGAUCGGCUAACUCCGUGCCAGCAGCCGCGGUAAUACGGAGGAUCCGAGCGUUAUCCGGAUUUAUUGGGUUUAAAGGGAGCGUAGGUGGAUUGUUAAGUCAGUUGUGAAAGUUUGCGGCUCAACCGUAAAAUUGCAGUUGAAACGGGCAGUCUUGAGUACAGUAGAGGUGGGCGGAAUUCGUGGUGUAGCGGUGAAAUGCUUAGAUAUCACGAAGAACUCCGAUUGCGAAGGCAGUUCACUGGACUGCAACUGACACUGAGGCUCGAAAGUGUGGGUAUCAAACAGGAUUAGAUACCCCUGUAGUC